UUGGAGGGCAAGUCUGGUGCCAGCAGCCGCGGUAAUUCCAGCUCCAAUAGCGUAUAUUAAAGUUGUUGCAGUUAAAAAGCUCGUAGUUGAAUUUCGGGAUCAGUACGUUGGUCGUGCCUUAGGUACGUACUGGUGUUACUGGUUCCUACCUUCUGACGAACCAUCAUGUCAUUAAUUUGGUGUGGCGGGGAAUCAGGACUGUUACUUCGAAAAAAUUAGAGUGUUUAAAGCAGGCUCGCGCUUGAAUACAUUAGCAUGGAAUAAUGAGAUAGGACGUUGAUCCUAUUUUGUUGGUUUCUAGGAUUGACGUAAUGAUUAAUAGGGAUAGUUGGGGGCAUUAGUAUUCAAUUGUCAGAGGUGAAAUUCUUGGAUUUAUUGAAGACUAACUACUGCGAAAGCAUUUGCCAAGGAUGUUUUCAUUAAUCAAGAACGAAAGUUAGGGGAUCGAAGACGACCAGAUACCGUCGUAGUCUUAACCAUAAACUAUGCCGACUAGGGAUCGGAUGAUGUUAUUUUUAAUGACUCAUUCGGCGCCUUACGGGAAAC
rnacentral:rRNA from 1 species